AGUGCAAUUUCUGGGUCAUAUGGUAGAUGUAUUUUUAAUUUUAGAAGAAAUUGGAAAACUAUUUUCCAAAGUGGUUAUAACAUUUUUCAUUUCCACUAACAAU
rnacentral:pre_miRNA from 1 species